rnacentral:rRNA from 1 species
AUUGAACGCUGGCGGCAGGCCUAACACAUGCAAGUCGAACGCGUGGCGGACGGGUGAGUAAUUUCUGGGAAACUGCCUGAUGGAGGGGGAUAACUACUGGAAACGGUAGCUAAUACCACAUACCAUCAGAUGUGCCCAGAUGGGAUUAGCUUGUUGGUGGGGUAACAGGUCACCAAGGCGACGAUCCCUAGCUGGUCUGAGAGGAUGACAAGCAACACUGGAAAGUAGAAGCGGUCCAGACUCCUACGGGAGGCAGCAGUGGGGAAUAUGGCACAAUGGGGUCAAGCCUGAUGCAGCCAUGGCGCGUGUGUGAAGAAGGGCUGCGGGUUGUAAAGCACUUUCAGCGGGGAGGCGUUACCCGCAGAAGAAGCACCGGCGAAAUCCGUGCCAGCAGCCGCGGUAAUAC